AUGUGGGGAGAUUUUGCUGAGCUUGACAGUGCCGUGAAGGGAACAGUAAAAUUUGGUGAUGGGUCAAUAGUGGACAUCUGCGGCCAUGGGUCAGUCCUAUUUCAUGGUCAGACUGGAGAGCACAAGCUGUUGACAGAGGUAUACUUCAUUCCAAGGCUAAAGAGCAAUAUAAUCAGUGUAGGGCAGCUAGAUGAGAUUGGUUGCAAGACUGAAAUUGAGUUUGGAGUGAUGACAGUACUUGAUAGACAGCGUAAGCUACUGGCCAGAGUGAAGAGGUCGCACAAUCGACUGUAUAUUCUAAAUAUCAAUCUUGCACAUCCUGAAUGCCUCUUAACAAAGACCAAGGAUGAGUCCUGGUUAUGGCAUGCCCGCUAUGGCCAUAUUAAUUUCCAUGCAUUGAGGUCCCUCUCGUCGAAAGGAAUGGUGCGAGGAAUGCCUUACGUGGAUCAGGUUGACAGAGUUUGUGACGGUUGCAUGCUAGGAAAGCAACGGCGUGCACCCUUCCCUGCAGCAGCUAGCUACCGAGCAGAGCAGCCGUUAGAGCUGAUGCAUGGUGAUCUCUGUGGUCCAGUCUCGCCACCAACAUUUACUGGAAAACAAUACUUCCUCUUGUUGGUCGACGACAACUCACGUUUUAUGUGGGUGGAGCUGAUCCGAAGCAAAGAUGAGGCGUUUGCUGCUCUGAAGAAAGUAAAGGCUGCAGUAGAGCUCAAGAAAGAUGUGAAGCUCAGAGCACUCAGAACAGAUAGAGGUGGUGAGUUUACUUCGAAAGAAUUUGAGUUUUACUGUGAAGAGCUUGGCAUCACUCACUACCUCACCGCGCCGUAUUCGCCACAACAAAAUGGCGUGGUCGAGCGCAGGAACCAGACAAUGAUCAAUAUGGCGAGAAGCAUGAUGAAAAGUAAGGGGUUGCCUGGAGCAUUUUGGGGAGAAGCAGUAGUGGCUGCUGUUUACCUUUUGAAUCGAGCGCCGACCAAAAGUCUAAUUGGGAUGACUCCGUACGAAGCAAUGUAUGGGAAGAAACCAAGUGUUGAACACCUAAGAACCUUUGGGUGUGUCCGUUAUGUGAAAAAGGUGGCUGGUCACCUCCCCAAGCUGGCUGAUCGGAGCUCUGCCAUGGUUUUCAUAGGAUAUGAACCGAAGUCCAAGGCCUACCGGAUGUAUGAUCCGGAGAAGAAAAAGUUGUGUGUAUCUCGAGAUGUUGUGUUUGCAGAAGAUGAGCAGUGGAAGUGGGAUUCAGAAACCAUGGAAAAUUUAACAUCUAUGGGCACAUUUUCAGUACAGUACACUGUCCCUGUUUCUGAACCUGAAGCAAUUAGGACACCAGGAACAGGAGGUGCGAAGCCUGAAUCCACCAUUGGCACACCUGCUACUCCAGGCACAUCAACAUCAAGUGAGAGCACUGACUCCACCAUUGGCACACCUGCUACUCCGGGCACACCAACAUCAAGUGAGAGCACUCCUUCACCUUGGUCACCCAACUUUGUGUUGCCACCGACUGAUGCAUCGCUUCUGACUCCAACUAAGGGGCAGAGAAGAUACAGGCUGCUUGAUGAUCUGUUCGAGGAAACAAUAGAAGUAGAGGCAAGUUCAGAACUUUGUCUCAUGGGGUCAGAGGAACCUUCUGAUCAUAGACAGGCCAGCAAAGAGCACAAGUGGCGGUGUGCUAUGGAAGAGGAGCUUGAGUCGAUCAGGAGUAACAAGACUUGGCAGCUCACCAUACUUCCACCUGGACAAAAACCUAUAGGCCUCAAGUGGGUUUAUAAACUGAAGAAGGAUUCAGCUGGAAGGGUUGUCAAGUACAAAGCACGCCUAGUAGCGAAGGGAUAUGUGCAACGUCCAGGGAUUGAUUUUGAAGAAGUUUUUGCGCCAGUUGCAAGACUCGAGACAGUGCGUUUGCUGAUAGCACUGGCAGCGCAAGAGAAGUGGGAGCUUCACCACAUGGAUGUCAAGUCUGCAUUUUUAAACGGCGAUCUGUCCGAGGAGGUGUAUGUCACCCAGCCACCUGGGUAUGAGAAGAAAGGUGAUGAGGAUAAGGUGCUAAAGUUGAGCAAGGCUCUCUAUGGGCUGCGACAAGCACCGCGUGCCUGGAACUCAAAACUUGAUCAGACACUAGUCUCAAUGGGGUUUGAAAAAUGCCCAUUAGAACAUGCUGUCUACAAGAAAUUCAGUGGGAACUCAACUCUGCUGGUUGGGGUGUAUGUGGAUGACCUCAUAAUUACAGGAGGCAGCAGCAAGGAGAUUGCUGAGAUCAAAGAGCAGAUGAAAAGGAAAUUCUGCAUGAGUGAUUUGGGCCUGCUAAGCUAUUAUCUUGGGAUUGAGGUAAAACAAACUCAAUCUGCUAUCACCAUUAGCCAAUCCUCUUAUGCAGCUCGGAUUCUGGAGAAGUGUGGUAUGGCAGAUUGUUAUUCAACCAAAGUUCCUAUGGAGCCAAGGCAGAAAUUGAGCAAGCAUAGUAAGAAUCCUCCUGUUGAUGCGACGAUGUAUCGUAGCAUUGUUGGUAGCUUGCGCUACCUAGUCCACUCUCGCCCUGACAUAGCAUAUAUAUAA
rnacentral:rRNA from 1 species